AGCUAGAGUUUGAUCAUGGCUCAGAUUGAACGCUGGCGGCGUGCCUAACACAUGCAAGUCGAGCGGUAACAGGUGUAGCAAUACAUGCUGACGAGCGGCGAACGGGUGAGUAAUGCUUCGGAAUCUGCCCAAUGGUGGGGAGUAACCAGCCGAAAGGUUGGCUAAUACCGCAUACGUCCCACGGGAGAAAGCAGGGGAUCGCAAGACCUUGCGCCAAUGGAUGAGCCGAAGUCGGAUUAGCUAGUUGGUAGGGUAACGGCCUACCAAGGCGACGAUCCGUAGCUGGUCUGAGAGGACGACCAGCCACACUGGGACUGAGACACGGCCCAGACUCCUACGGGAGGCAGCAGUGGGGAAUAUUGGACAAUGGGGGAAACCCUGAUCCAGCGACGCCGCGUGUGUGAAGAAGGCCUGCGGGUUGUAAAGCACUUUUAGUGGGGAUGAAAAGUUCGGGGCUAACACCUCCGGAUCUUGACCUAACCCACAGAAAAAGCACCGGCUAACUCUGUGCCAGCAGCCGCGGUAAUGCCCAAUCGC
rnacentral:rRNA from 1 species